ensembl:lncRNA
AUGCAGGAGGGCCAUCCCAUGACUACCUACAGGAGUGAGUAUAAGGGGGCCCCAGCUCAGAGCUCUCAGGAUUGCUUGGGACCCCACAGUAGAGCUCUGCCACAGGACCACAGUCACUCACACAUUCUUGGAGAAAGGAGGCUGGAUCUCCCACACGGCCAGCUCCAGAGCCUGCUGGAGUCCAUCGGGCUAGACCUGGGGGUGGAGGAGUUGGGCCGACUGUCAGACCGGACCAAGGAGAGGCUGUACGGGAUGAAGAGAGACCAGGAGAGGAGUCCCCUGACGUCAGACAGGCACUCUAGAACUAGAGACUGGGACAGAGAACGAGACGAGGACACAGAGAGGAACGGAUCUAAGAGAAAUGGAGAAAGAGACAGAGAGAGAGACUGGGUCAGUUCUGAGCGAGACCGAGAGAGAGACGGGGACAAAUCUGAGCGAGAUAGGGACAGGCGCUCUAAUACCAGGGACAGGCACUCUGGUUCCAGGGACAGGCGCUCUAGUACCAGGGACAGGGACAGACACUCUGGUUCCAGACACUCUGGUACCAGAGACAGCAACAGGGACAGGCGCUCUAGUACCAGGGACAGAGACGAGGACAGGCGCUCUAGUGCCAGGGACAGAGACGAGGACAGGCGCUCUAGUGCCAGGGACAGAAACAGGGACAGGCGCUCUAGUGCCAGGGACAGGCGCUCUAGUACCAGGGACAGGCGUUCUAAUACCAGGGACAGGCGCUCUAGUACCAGGGACAGGAACAGGCGCUCUAGUACCACGGACAGGCUCUUUACUAACAGGGACAGAGACAGGGACAGGUGCUCUAGCAGCAGAGAAAGGGACAGGCGCUCUAGUAACAGGGACCGAGACCGGGACAGGCGCUCUAGUAACAGGGACAGAGACAGGAACAGGCGCUGUAGUACCAGGGACUGUGACAGAGAUGGCGACUGGGCCGAAGGAAGCGACAAUGAUUGGUAUAGGGACAAGUCCAAGGAAAGCUCUGCUGAGCUCAACACAUACUCAAAGGACCCUAUAUAUCCUUUUUCUCACCCUCCUAAUGCAUCUAUGAUGGCAACCUUCUCCACCACCCAGUUCUCUCUGUAUACCAGCAGACCCUACGCCAAUACCUUCCCUCCAGGUUGGGGUUAUCCCCCUGGCCUUAUGCCCCCUAGCUUUAUGCCCCCUGGUACCAUGCCCCCUGGUACCAUGCCCCCUGGUAUUAGGCCCCCUGGUACCAUGCCCCCUAGUAUUAUGCCCCCUGGUAUUAUGCCCCCUGGUAUUAUGCCCCCUGGUACCAUGCCCCCUGAUAUUAUGCCCCCUAGUAUUAUGCCCCCUAGUAUUAUGCCCCCUGGUAUUAUGCCCCCUAGUAUUAUGCCCCCUUUUACCAUGCCCCCUGGUACCAAGCCUCCCUUCCCAUACCCCCCCCCUGGGUAUCCACCCUACCUCAGCGCCCCACCACAUUACUCUAAUAGCACAGCAGCCUCAAGCCAGACAUACGCAUACACACAGGCUGCUAGAAACCUCCAGCUCUCAUCUACUCAGCCUGCCAGUAACCACCAGUUAGCAUAUAUCCCACUCCCAUACAACCAGCCCUCUGGCACCCUCCAGCAGCUAAACACCAAGUCCACUGGCAACCUGCUCCAGCUCAUGAACCUCCAACUCCCAAACAGCAAGCCCGGUAGCACCCGCCAGCUUACUUACAUUCAGCCAGCUAGCAACCCCCAGGUCAAAUCUAUCCAGCCUGGUGGGACCCGGCAGCUUACAUACAUUCAGCCCACUAGCAACCCCCAGGUCACAUCUACCAAGCCCGCUAGCACCCGCCAGCUUACAUACAUCCAGACUGCUAGCAACCCCCAGGUCACACCUACCCAGCCCGAUAAUGAACUCAAGUUCACAAGCAUGGCUGUACUGACGCCAGCACUGAAAGUGUUGACCCCAGGCCCCAUCUCCUUGAACAAGGCCCAACAACUGAAGGAGCUGUCACCCCCCCGCUGUCUGCAUUACGUUAAGACGGUGGUGCCCAAGGGCAGCAAACGCCGCAUGAGACGGUCAAGAGUCACGAGAAAUAGGCAGGCGCUUGAAGAAAGGUGUAAUAAAUACAGGAAAGAGGUUCUGAGAAAGAGGAGAAUAUAUCGAGAUCUCCAAGGGAAGAGAGAUGGACUGAUUGCAAGAGCUGCAGCGAAAGUGGCCGCUCGGUUAGCUGCAAAGUACCCCAGGGCCCUCUCUGAAGCGGAGGCAGAGAGCGAUGUUGAAGGGGAGAAAAAAACAAUGCCAGAAGAAGUGAUUAAGGGGAAACUAAAGAAGAAGCUUGAAGAGUUCAACCUGAAGAUGAAGCGGAAAUCGACGCAACAAACACCAACAUAAACUCAAAGGCAGUUUGUUAUCUUCACUUGGCAUCAUGAGCUCAUCUCCCACUAGAAUAGAACCUGCUGCUGACCCAUCCAGACCCUAUGGACAUUAGUUGGCUUACAUUGUUACCCAUCAUUCAUUUAUUGAUUUGUAAUGAUGCUAACAAAGGAUUUGUUAUCUUUGAGCCACAUCCUUUAAGGCAACAUAUUGAAGAAUCUUUUUCAGUGUAUAUUCAGAUUGGAUUUAUAUGUAGUAGCAUGGGUACGGACGGUCAGGGGCUUUUCUUGAAAACGUGAUCUGACUUGCAAAAAUGAUUUCCUAUAUAGGCUUUUAGCUUUAAUUAGGGCCUGGAGAUUUUCCUAGGCUGGUCAUUUGUUCAGGAAAAACUCUUAACCCAUUUCUGUGGAUCCUCUUUCACUGUGUAUAUAUACAAAUAAAGAGUUAUUUUAUUUAUUUAUUUUUCUCAAAAAGUAACUUCAAAAUGGAAGUCAUGCUGAUGAUCUAAACUAUGCUCCACACUCCGUCCUGUUGGUGGCAGUAUUGGAAUUAGAAUCAUAACAAGGUGGGACGAAAUCUUCAGAAGCAGGUACAGCAGAAAAAUAAAAUAGUCUUUGUCCUUUGCUAGCUAGAUCGUUGCUUUUGUACUAGCUAAUAUAUGCAUUUUUUAUGCAAUUGCGUGGAACUUGUUUAACGCCUCAAAAUCUAAAAUGACAUGGCGAACAUAAUGAGAUGGUACCCUCUUUAAGGCCUAAGACGAGCGCGGGUGAGGUUGCAGACGAGGUAAACAAUCAUUUUAUAGCUACUGCUUGCACUUUAUUUUUAAGAAUAUAGUAAUGUGUUUGGUUAUGAUAAAAACAGUUAUUGGGCUAUAUGCUUCUGUCACGCUCACAGCAUGUUCUGAAAAUGGCAUAGCUACAAGCUAACGUUAGCUACCUAGCUUAGUAGAAGAGGUUCCGCUUCAGAUUCAUGCAGCUUUAGUAUUCUGAUCAUAGUUAGCAUUUAUGGCUAGCAUUUAAACCAUCAAUCGCGUUCCUUACACGCUAGGAACGAAUUUCCUCAAGUUAUAAUGAGAAAGUGCCUGUCGGUCCCAAAACACAAGUUUAAUGGAGACUUGUAGGAGGACUGCGUAUGACGUCGCCCACUGUUUGCGAUUUCGUUAGCCUGAUUGCAUCCAGACUGAGAAGUCCGCAUUGCUUUCCUGACCACGUCCUGAAGUGGUCAGCAAGAUCUGAACACAUUCAGCACAAAGCCACUUCUGUGCGUCUAGACCAGUCUUCUCUGUGAUAUCUUCAUAUUCUGAUAGCCAGGGGCGCAACUUUGGUUUUAGAAGUGAGGGGGGACAUAACCUGGAGGGGGGACUGGGGGUCCUCCCUCAUUUUUUUGGGGACAUCAAACAAAUUUCCUGCAUUUGUACACAAUCUAAUAUGACCCUUUUGGCAUAAUGUUGUGGUCACUUACUGUAAAUAAUAAUAUAUGUUUCCAAACGCUUCUACAUGCGUGUGGAUGCUACAAUGAUUAUGGAUAAACCUGAAUGAAUUGUGAAUAAUGAUGAGUGAGAAAGUUAUAGAGGCACACAUCAUACCCCUCCCCAAAAAAAUCUAGCCUCCCAUGUUAUUGUAAUGGUGAGAGGUUAGCAUGUCUUGGGGGUAUGAUAUUUGUGCGUCUAACUUUCUCUCUCAUAAUUAUUCAUGAUUCAUUUAGAAUGAUCCGUAAUCAUGGUAGCAUCCACAUUAAUGUAGAAGCUUUUAGAAACUAAUUAUAUUCUUAUUUACAAUAAAAUUGACUCCAAAUAGACAUAAUACAUAAUUUACCAUGAAUUUCUAUUGGGCACAAAAUAAUCUGAAAUGCAACCAAAACUACCAGCAAAUGCAUCUGACAAAUUUGUAGACUCGCAACCUUGAUGUUGUCAUUGCAUGCUAUGAAUGUGGGGACCAAAUACUUCACUUUUUACUACUUUAAUACACAUACAAGGGAAUUUUGUCCCAAUACUUCGGUCCCCUAAAAUGGGGGACUAUGUACAAAAAGUGCUGUCAUUUCUAAACAGUCCACCUGAUAUGGAUGAAAAUAAACUCAAAUUAAUGCUGACAGUCUGCACUUUAACUUCAUAGUCAUUGUUUGAUUUAAAAUCCAAACUUUGAGGAUAGAGCCAAAAUAAGAUAAAAUGCUUCACUGUCCCAAUAAUUACUGAGGACACUGUAAUUCAUAUCGUAGGCCUAAUAGUACUGUAGAGCUUUUUUUACUUGCACACAAUAUAGCUGGAUCGCCCCGUCUUGUCCCUAGGGGUCCAACGCCCUGCAGUGCCCCAACCCAUCACACCCCACUCAGCUUUAGGAUCUUAGUGAAACAUUUAUUAUUGGUUUCAGGUGUGUUAGGCCAAGGUCAGAAUGACAACCAACAAUACGGCUGACCCCUGGGCCAGGACUGAGCAGCCCAGCAGCUAGGGAUUGCCUAAAUGGGUAUCUCCCCUGACGUGGGCAUGUCUUCAUGCGUACACUAUUCCAUAUAAGGCAUCCAGACCGUAUGAAAGUUGCACACUAUACUGUUAAUCUUUCAAUUUCUGCCAUCCUUUGUGACAUUGUCGGAGGAUAACCAACCUUCCAAUUAAUAGCAAUGCAUUUCUUAGCCACUAUAAAUGCUAGGUUACAUAGUUUCUUCUGAUAUCAGUCUCCAGUAUUAACAUUUCCAAGCAAACAAAAACAGGGAGAAAGGAGAAUCUGUAGAUAUGCUGAGAUAAAAUAACAUACUCUUUGCCAGAAUUCAGCCAACCUUCACAAGAGCAUAACAUAUACGUUCACCUUACCGCACCACAGACUGGUCUUCCCUGGUUUCUUGAUCCUGUUGAGACCCCUGUCUCAAUCUGAUCCUGCUAAAAUGAGGCAUCCUAAAGCACACUGAUACUGUGUUUUGUAUCACAGCAAUGACAAAAUUGGGGGGAGCAAUGACAAAAAUGCAAUUUCAGAAUGUCCCGCCGUCCCCAGUGGAAGUUGCACCCCUGCUGAUACUAUAAGUCACAUGUAAGUGUCAAGUGUAGACACGACCUGGUGUCUAGACUUGAUACUUACGUGCAACUUCUGCUACGGUUUCAGAAUACGGAAAUCGCAUUGAAAAGACUGGUCUAGAUGCACAAAAGUUGCUAUGUGGUCUGAUUGUGUUCAGAUCUAGCCUGGUAUGGCAAUAGCCCUGCCCUCGAUCGCAUGGCGCCAAAGAGGGUGGCGCGGACAGUCCAGUACAUCACUGAGGCCAAGCUCCCUGCCAUCCAGGACAUCUACACUAUAUAUACAGUACAGUUACAUUCUAGAUGAUUCUGUGCUUCCAACUUAGUGGUAACAGUUUAGGGAAGGCCCUUUCCUGUUUCAGCGUGACAAUGCCCCCGUGCCCAAAGUGAGGUCCAUACAGAAAUGGUUUGUCGAGAUUGGUGCGGAAGGACUUGACUGGCCUGCACAGAGCCCUGACCUCAACCCCAUCGAAUACCUUUGCGAUGAAUAGGAACGUCGACUACGAACCAGGCCUAAUCGCCCAACAUCAGUGCCCGACCUCACUAAUGCUCUUGUGGCUGAAUGGAAGGAAGUCCCCGCAGCAAUGUUCCAACAUCUAGUGGAAAGAUGUCUUCUAUCGGGCAUUAUCAGCUCAUUGUUAUGGAUGUAUCCAAAUGAAUGUCAAUAGAAAACAGCUACUUUGCUGUUAUUCUGCCUGCAGAGGUCGUGACUGUGUUAGCCGCAAGAAAGUGAUAGGAAUGUUAGGAUAGGAAUAGGAAUGAUAGUGAUAGGAAUGGCAACAGAACAUAAAGAACAAACGACUGGGUCGUGUCCAAAAGACGACAAAGAAUGAAUUUGUUUAUAUAAAUGAAAAUAUCAACCUUUUUUUUUCUACCUGUAAAUGUGUGCUUAGUAUUGUUUCUUUGGCAAUUGUGGUAUAAGCUGGAUAAACUGCUGUUAUUCUGGCUGCAGAGGUAAUGACUGUGUAGCUGUAGCAAGUUGACUGGCUAGCUAGCAGCAAGCAUGGGGUAAGAACGGAACAUUAAGAACGAACGAGUGGGUCGUGUCUGUAAAUAUCAAACUAAUCGAACGGCUGGGUCGCAUCUCUAGCAAACCAAAAGAUGAGAAAAUUUGCUUAUGAAAAUAUCAGCGAAAGAUAUGUAUUUGUACCGGUAAAUGUGUGCUUUCAUAUUGUUUUUUUUUUGGCAACUGUGGUAUAAGCUGGAUAAACGCCUCCGUUCUGUACAUUACCUUGGAAAAAGGGACCACCUUGUCCCGCUGCAUCGUCUGUUAUUUCCAAGGUAAUUUACAGAACAUCGGCGUUUACAUGUACCACGGGUAGGACAAAACAUUUAUUUUUACUCUUCUAAUUACAUUGUUAAACAGUUUAUAAUAGCAAUAAGGCAGGCACCUCUGGGGUUUGUUGUAUAUGGCCAAUAUACCACGUCUAAGGGCUGUAUCUAGGCACUCCGCAUUGCAUCGUGCAUAUAACAGCCCUUAGACGCGGUACUGUGCAUUUGGAAAGUAUUCAGAACUCUUGACUUUUUCCACAUUUUGUUACAUUACAGCCUUACAUGCUGACCACACCGCUCACGUGUGCGAGCUUUGCAAAAUAAAUGUACACAUACAUGUUAUUCCUGCGUGGCCAGGCGCUAAAAUAGAAAUAGGUUCUAUUUGAGCGUCUGCGUGGCCAGGCGCUAAAAUAGAAAUAGGUUCUAUUUGUGACACUCAAUGCGUUGCAAAGUCCGGCCUCGCCCAUCUCCUCAUUGGAUUUUAGGAGCAUAUACCCACGUGCCAUUUCCUCAUUGUUUUUUAGGAGCAUAUCCCACGUGAGUGAUUUGAAGAUGAACUGACGUCCACACUCCAGUCGGUUGUAGUAAUGCACUGUAAAGUUGGUUGCCAACCACCAUAUGAAGUCCAAAGAAGUAAAAAAAGAAGCUUGAGGAAGGAGGAGAGAUGACGAGAAAGGAAUUCAGUUUACCGUUUUAUCUGUGGAGUAGAGGACCUUGUGCAUUUCAG